rnacentral:rRNA from 1 species
UACCAGCACCCCGAGUGGUCGGGACGAUUAUUGGGCCUAAAGCAUCCGUAGCCGGUUCUACAAGUCUUCCGUUAAAUCCACCUGCUUAACAGAUGGGCUGCGGAAGAUACUAUAGAGCUAGGAGGCGGGAGAGGCAAGCGGUACUCGAUGGGUAGGGGUAAAAUCCGUUGAUCCAUUGAAGACCACCAGUGGCGAAGGCGGCUUGCCAGAACGCACUCGACGGUGAGGGAUGAAAGCUGGGGGAGCAAACCGG